rnacentral:lncRNA from 1 species
AAAUUUCAAUUUUCCCCCUUCCCGCUUUUUUGUUUUAUUUGUUUGCGGGAAUUUCCCUUUUUCAAUCUUCAACUAUCUGUUGUUUACUUCUACUAGUGUUGGACCACGUGCGUCGCACAUGACCUGGUGAUGUUGGGCUAUAAUUUAUCAUGCCCCAGGACUCUGCUCUUGCCCUCUUUUUGUUAGAUUCCUCUCUGUUUCUGUACGCCUUCUUGUCUUCACCUUGAGAAGUUAUAGUCGAUCUUCCUUCGCUGAACCCUCCCACUUACCUCUCUUUACAUAACGCUUCUCUUCUUUGGGUGAAUAUAGCUGAGAGGAUCGGCCCUCAGAUGGGAUCCGAUGGAGGCCCAACUCUAAUCACCAUCCUCGCUUUGGCUGUAGCGAGAGUGUAAGUGCUCUAACAACAACAACCCAGAUGGACUCAGUUCAACAGCAGGUGGAGGCUAUGUGGAGUUCAUUGAUUAAUGAAGUUUCGUGAAGACAAUGGGCUAGCCUGUCUAUGGGCAAUCAAUGUCACAAAUAUUGUUAGCCUAUUCAAGUCCUAACAAUUGCAGGAACCUCAAAGAAAACAUGGGAAGCAAUGUUUUAUAAGGACCGUUGUCUUCCAAAAGUAUCAUGUGAACCACAAAAAAAAAUCGUCGUAGAAGUUGAAUAACAAUAGGACGAACUUACCCACUGGUGGACAGUUGAAUUGGUUCAGCUUUGGGCACUUCACCGCAAAGGUCCUAGGGUCGAAACUUCGUAGCUGUUAACAUGUCUUAAGUGAGGGGUCAUGGUGGUGGGGUCCUAUGCUAGCUUCCCUCCAAGUAUUGACGCUUGGUCCGAGGUGCACCACGCACCACGCAUUGUACGGGUCAUGGGUUAGCAAUUAGCGUAAGCGAAAGUAGGGCCCGGUGGAUCCUGGGUCACAAAAAAAAAAAAAAAAAACAAUAGGACAUACUUUGAUCUGUUACUAUUUGAUUUCCACAAACAGCUUGAAUGGCCUCCCGCAAAUCCUUCUCACUGAGCUGGAGAUUUCGAACUAAUUGCUGCCCAAUAUCUUCACAGAAACAAAAUCAUUUUUUUCUUGCACUUCCGAGCAUUGUCCAAAAGGGAGGCAAGAUGUGUGCCCAUUAUAGGGCCACUAGCAUCGCACAAAACCUGGUGCAAGGUCACAGAUUGUUACCAAACCCCAAAUAUCCUCUGGAGAAAGACAAAAUUGAAUUGAAAAACAAACUUAUAACUGAAUACAUGCCUUUGGUUGUUGGGAUAUGAAAUUGUCCACAGCCUGCAGAACUGAUGUGUUGUGAAGACCAGCUUUAGUGAGAAUUCUCCUGGCUAAACCAUCCUUUUGCUCCAAAAGAGCUCUCAUUAGAUGCUCAGUUUCCACCACUUGUUGUUUGCAAACUUGAGCUGCAUCAACAGCAUCAAUAAUGCUCUCCCAGGCCAUCUCAGUGAACUCUGAUGGAUUCGUCUGAGUCGAACAAAGUCAGACUUCAAGUACAUCCAUUAGAAAAAACAUAACAAAUGAAACAGGCAGACUUCUCUUCCAGAAACUCCAACUAAAGGAUGACGAGGAAAAAAUUGCCAGGUCAAUCCUGCUAUAUUAAACACAAAGGUCCAGUAAAUAUGAGAUGCUUACUCGGUUGGUAAGUAACCUUUGAAUGUUUAUCACAUUAAACUCCAGUCCACCAUAUCUUGAACUUUGAAGGAAAUCAAAGGCAAACAUGCCAAGUACAGAUUCAUCAUCAAAACACGAAAAAAUUAAACAGCCAGCUUUAUACUUUGUAUGUUGAAAAUCAGACACUUAGUUUUAACUCAAGGACCGUGUUAACUUGUAAAAUCAAGGAACUGUCGCCUCCCCUGCUAAGAAAAUGUAAUAGCCACCAUGUGUUAGGCGGACCUUCAUAAGCAAAAGCUCACGGAAGAUGGGGAAGUUGAAUGCAGAAUUUUAGUAGAUUUGCAGCUCAUAAUUCUCCAAAUUAUACCAUAAAGAACCAUCAAACGAUAUUUUUAAUUUAACAUUCAUUGCGAAUACAGCCAAAAGUAAUGCACUUUAGUGAUACCGGAGAAAAGUUUAUUUCGUUAAGCUUAUGAUGUCUACAUCGAACGCCCCAUACAUCUCUAUUCUAUAACUGCAGAACCUAGAAAGAUCAUUCCCGGAGGCGACUGUAGUCACAACAUAGCACAAAAAGCACCAAACUUUAAGUCCCAAAAGCUUCAGCAACACCAAAAGAAGAUAACGGAAAAAUUGCAUUAAACUCUAACAGCAAAACCUCAAAUAAAAUGGAAAUGUCAUGGGCUCCUAGCAUCAAGCCGACGCUGAGCGACAAAAACACUUCAAGAUCACACCUUUCAAUUAUAUCACAAAAUACCCACAUUCACAUAAUGAAAUUUGAUCGAAUUCCAACCUGAGACGCGCUCGCGGCGGUCGAGUAAGCCUGAGAGGGAAGGCCAGAGCCUCGCGAACCGAUGCUGACGACGCCGCAGAGCUCGACGGCCUCGGCAGAUACCAAGGUGAGGACAUUAGCCUCACGAAGCGGUGGGCCGGUCAGCGGGUGAACAGAGUUCCCGAAACCAGGAGUGGAGCCGGAGAGCGAGCGAGAGCGGUAGAGGACAGAGGCGGCUCCAGUGGCGGCGGCGGAGGAGGAGCGUUUGGGAGGCGCCGAGGCCGCGUUUAUGGCGGCGAAGGCGGUCUUGGUGAGCUUGGAGGUGGUUCUCCUCGUGGCCAUGGAAGGAGCGCGGGAGGUUUAUGAACUGCUAUAAAAAUCUAAAUUAUAAUUAUUUUUAUAUUUCUUUUUUCUUUUUUUUUUCUUUAUUCUUUCCUCUCUCUUUUUUUUUUUAAUUAUUCCUCCUUCCUUAACCAGUGGCCAACACGGUAACGACAGUGAUCAACCAAGCAAGGCUCAAGCUUACUGGCCUCAGGUGAGCUUGAGGUCAUCAAUGAGUGGCGAGGUGCAAGCCUCACCAAUUUCUUUCUAGCGAGGUUCAAACUCACCAAAUUUGACGAGAAUCAAGUUGGUUGGCAUCGAGUGAGCCUCCAACUUGCCGAUUUGGUGAGCUUGGCGUCUGGUGAGCUAUGGCCGGCCACUGCCAGCUAAAGAAGAAUAAGAAAAAGAAAAAAUAAUAAUUAAAAUUAUUUUUAAAAAAUAAAAUAAAAAUACUAAAAAUUGAUUUUUUUUUAAAUUAUAAAAAUUGUCCAUUAAUUUAUAUUGCAUGAAAGUGUUUUAGCAAUAUCAUUUUUUUUUUUGGUAUUGCAUCAUGCAAUACAAAAGAAUGAUUUUUCACAUAUAAACAAAUAUUAUUUUCAUGUCAAUUAUUAACUUAUCAAAUUUUUUUUAUCAAGAAUUCUUCAAAAGUAUUUGAAUUUAAAGGUUUCUCACUUUUUUUUUAUUUUUACUAACUGGUUGACAAUGUCAACCAAAGGAAAGAAAGAUAAAAUAAAAAAGAAAAGGGAAAAAAGGAAGAAAAGUUGAAGAAGAAAGGGCCAAAAAUCUGAUCGCGGGAGAGAGAGCGGUGGGAGAGGUGGGGCCCAGGAGGGGGCGGAAGGCUUCCGACGCGCGGUGGAACCGGGCGACACGUGUGUCGUGUCGCCCGGUGAAAGAGAUGAGAUUUGGACGCGCUGGCCUCUCUCUCCUAUCCAAUAAAAUUUUCUCCUUCGGCCUUCGUGCCUUCCGGAUGUGCUGUCGAAGGUAAGUGUACAGCUACAUGAGAAUCGCCACCUUGUCUUGAUGCUAUAUGAGGAAAAGCCACAUUGGGCGGAGGUGAUUCCGGUUCGGACAAUACCACCACCGGCGGUUUUCGCUUUCCCCCAGGUUACGUCGACCAAGCGUAUAGAUCGCCGACGCGUGGCACAUGAAUCCGUACGGGCAAUUUUGGAUUGGGGGAGGGGGUCUCGGGCAGCGGGACGUUAAUGACAAUAUAAGAUAUGAAAGAGAGAACUUGAAAAUAGCCACUUUCCUUUUUGUUGCCUAUCUAAUCUUUUGUGAUUUGCACAUUGUUCCCUUCUUCCUAGGUGCACUAUUCUUUGACAAUUUACGUGGCAUAUAUGGAUAUUUUGUAAAGUUUUAGGGCAUGUAGCAGUAAUGGAAAGAGAGAAAAAGAUCGAAAGGAUUGAAAAAAAAAAACGUGAAGAAAAGUGAGGGCGACAAAGAUGACAAAAUAGAAUAUAUAUAUAUAUAUAUAUAUAUAUAUAUAUAGAGAGAGAGAGAGAGAGAGAGAGAGAGAGAGAGAGAGUGAAAAAAAUGUUGAACCCUAAUGUUAUCAUUCGGACUAAUGAAUUCCUCAUGUCAAACUCUAAACUUGUGGUUUCCUUUUCCCGCACGACAAAUGAGAUUGGGAGGGCAUUGUGAUCGCACCACUCCGCUUACGAUGUCAUUUUAUAUAUUUCCUAUUAUAAGAAAAGAAAAGAAGGGGAAAGGAGCAAGAACAAAAAUACAUUAGAAUGUCUUUUGUAGAUUGCAUAGUUAACAUUCCAUAACAUAUCAUUUAAAAUUCAUAAUAUUCAUUCAUUUUGUCUCCAUAUCUUCCUAAAUAAUGGUUUGAAGAAAACCCAGUGGUGAUUGAUAGUGACAUGCUUUGCUUUGGCUUAGUCAAUCUAGGUUCCUUAAAUUUUCUACAAUCUAUUUACUACUCAGAUUAUUGGAUGUUAUUUUUCUGAUCGUGCACUUGUAUAAUCACCACUCAAUUGUAAGUGGUAUGGGAUAAAAUGGAUAAAUACUGCAUGCAAAGUAUUUUCAAAAUAAUUUUAAAGGUGAAAAAGUCUCCGUAGUCUAAACAAGAUAGGCGUGCAAUGCCAAUUGGCAAAGUCUUAAUUAUUGAAUAAGCAAUUUUUGGCGUGUGCUCAUCAUCUAUGUAGCAUUGACACUUUCCGAAAGCUUUCAUAUUGUGUCCAACGUUCCGACACAUGUUUGACAUGUGUCCGACAUGCUCCGACAUGUUUUGACACGCAGUUAUCAAGUGUCGAAAAAUUUGACAUGUGAUCAACUCUCUCUGACAUGCUCUGAUACCCGAGUCUAGAAUUCCAACACGCAUGGGUCAAUUUUAAAAAUUUUCAAUACUUGAGAGGUAAAAAAUAUAAAAAUACAAAAAGAAGAAGAAGAAGAAGAAGAAGAGGUAGGGCUGGUGGUUGGGCGCUGCUGCCGGUGCCACUAUUGGAGGGGGCCGGCGAGGUGAUAGAGGGGGGGCAGUCCUCGUUGGCCCGAGCGAGGCCAUCACCAGCCAAACAAGGGUUGGUGAGGCUCGCCCAAAUCUAGGCGAUGCCUCGAUUGAGGCUCGAGUGAGGCUCGCCCAGAUCUGGGUGACGUUGCGUCCUCGCUCGGGCCCAAUGAGGGCCAACAAGGACCAGUGAGGCCUCGCCUAGGGCUGCGGAGGCUUGUUGGCCAUAGGCAUUAGCCCUAGGCGAGGGCCGGCGUUGCCCAGAUCUGGGCGAGCCUCGCUCGGGCCUCACUUGGGCAGGUGAGGGUCACCCUCCCUCUGCUGCCUCGCUAGCCCCCUCCGAUGGUGGCUAGGCACACUUUUGAUGGGGACAGCGGUAGCAGCAUGCCCAGAGACACGACUGUGGCUCUUUUUUUUUUUUUCAAUUUUUUUUAGAAGUAUUUUAUCUUUUUUAAAAGUCUUUUACUAAUGAUAAAUAAAUAAAUUUAGAAAUACCAUUUCAGCAUUUUCCUUUAAACACUGUUUUUUCCCUCUAAGUUUUAUGUAUUAUUGUAAUGAAAUAAAGUUGAAUUUGUCAAAUUAAAAUAAUGAAUGAUAUUAACAAAUGUUGAAUUUUUACCCAAAAAAAGCAAAUGUUGAAUUAAUAUAUUUAGUAUAAAUUAAUUCUAGACUCUUUUUAUUAUUAUUUAUUUAUGUUUUUAUAUAUAACGUGUUGGAAUGUGUCGGAAUUCUCUAUUUUUAAGAAAUGAUAUGUCGGCGUGUGGUGUUAUGUCAUAUAGCGUGUCCGUGUCAGUGCUACAUAGCUUAUCAUUGACAAAAAUAUGAAAUCUAUUGAUCGGUCGCCAAUUUUGUUUGACAAAUCUGUUCAUGUGAAAUAAGUUUGUGCUGAACUUUGCAAUUACUCAAUCAAUCCUCCUUGUGUUCUGGAUUUGGCAUUGUUUUUUAGUAUUCAUGCUUUGUUUCGAUUUGCUUUGUCAUGAAGAUUAUGUAUUUGUGCAUCCUUUUGAAUAAUGAAUACACUUUUUUUUCGACAAAAAAAAAGAAAAAAAAUAAGCAUUAUGAUCCACGUUACAUCUAAUUAGCUAUGGAAGGAAAGAUUAAUAAAUAUUAUACUCUUUUGAUAGAAGGUUACCUACUGUCUGCUGAAGAUUACAUCAAAUUUGGGGUAUUGGAAAACGAAAAUAAAAAUAAAAAUUGAUGUGUUGGCAUCUCACAGGAAAAAGUUGAGGCUUUUUGGUGGAAUUCUGCCUUUCGAUAAUUAGGCCGGUCAAAUAUCUAUAAUUUUGUAACAAGGAUAUAUAGGGACUCACGCUUGAAGAUUCCUGGUGGUGUGCUGCGAUGUAAGAUUACCUUGGAAUUGGUGGCACACAUUCUCUCUCUCUCUCUCUCUCUCUCUCAUGUUUUAGAGUUUUGGCUUUGACAUCCCCUGGUGUAGGAUCCCCUAAGCAUGGUUGCUAAUUCUUGCUCUACGCGUCGCGGUGCCGACAUCGCACUUUGGCCUUCUGCCUAGGGUGCACUAGGGGAUUCUCCUUCGAAGUUUGAAAGACGACCGUCGACUCCUUCCACAGCACCACGGCAAGUUCCCGUGCCCAUCUUCUACCCGUUACGCCCACCAGUAUAAAAAUGAAAAUAGCACUUCAUAUUGAUUUGUCUCAUAGGAUUAGUUCAUGAUUUGUCCUAGAACAGAAAAUGAGCGUAAAAUAGGAAAUGCAUGCACUACUAAUAGACUCUAGGGGCAUUUGUCUUUUUGUUAAGAAAAAAAACAAAAAUACAUUAAAAAGUCUCAUGCAGAUCGCAUAGUUAACAUACUAUAACAUUUAAAAUUCAUCAUGCAUGAUCAUGCAUAACAUUCAUUCAUUUUGUCUGCAUAUCUUCCUAACUUAUAGUUUGAAGAAGACCCAAUGGUGAUGGAUAGUGACAUGUUUUGCUUUGGCGUAGUGAAUCUAGGUGCCUUAAAUUUUUUGUAAUCUGUUUACCUUUUUUGAUUAUUACGAGUUAUUCUCUUGAUUGUGGAUUACCACUCAUAUGUUAGCGAUAUAGGAUAAAAUAGAAAGACGGCCUCCAAAGCAUUUUCGAAAUAAUUUUAUAAAGGUGAAAGAGUCUUUAUAGUCUAAACAAGAUAGUUUGGAAGUUGGAUUCUACUCAAACGAAGCAUUAUCAAUAGAGAAAAAAAAAUGAAAGAAAUAAAUGGCCAUUCAAAACAAUAUCAAUAAUACAUAAUUUCUCGAAUAAAAAAGUUAAUACUCAACUUUUUCUUAUAUGCUGGUUAACAUGCUUUCAUCUUUAUCCUUAUUCAACGCACUUAAUAAUAGAUAAUGAUUCGAAAUUUUCCUGUUGAAAACUAUAUAACAUUUCGACGAGGUGAUACUUAUAUUUUGAAGUAUGGAAAUUCGUAGGGUAAAACUCGUAAGUAUAAAAUCUUAUUUUAGUUUUGUUCUCUAGGUGGAUUAGUUUUUAAAAUUUGCAUUAGAUAACCCUUGUUUGCAUAAAUUAUUCGUCGUCGUUAGAAAUAAUUGACAAUUUACACAAUAUAAGGUCUGAAAUAAAAUUAGAAGGUACGGAGCGCAAAUCUUGGGAAUUAUUUUACUGAUAUUCACGGUUUAAUAUUUAUUUUUCUUAAUUAAGAUAUUUAUUUUUUUGAAAUUAGAAUGAAGAAAUUAGACCUUUCCUGUUAUAUCCCUCAAAAGCUCACUCAAGGUCUCUCUCUUCGCCACCUGUCAAUGCAGACAGAGAGAGAGAAAGAGGGAGAGAGGAGUUUUGAAGCCACAAUGAUUGCUUCCGUGCUGCGGAAAGAUCGUCUUCUCCAUGAAAUGAGAAAACCCUAAAACCCAUCGCUGUCGCUCCCCCAUAAGCUUCACUUCCCUUUCCUCCAUCUCUUCAAUUCCCCAACCACGACCACCACCAUCCCCAAAAGCUCCGCCCACCACAAGCCCACCGGUUGUUCCCCGAUGGCCUCCUCCGCCGCAGCCGCCCAUGGCCGUACCAAGGUGGUGGUCAUCAUGGGCGCCACCGGGUGCGGCAAGUCCCACCUCUCCAUCGACCUCGCCUCCCACUUCCGUUCUGCCGAGGUCAUCAACUCCGACAAAAUGCAAGUCUACCGGGGCCUCGACAUCACCACCAACAAGAUCCCCCCAGAUGAGCGCCGCGGCGUCCCCCACCACCUCCUUGGCUCCCUCGACCCGGAUGACGGCGAGAUGACCCCGUCGCAGUUCCGUUCCCUUGGCGACGCCGCCAUUUCCGACAUCACCUCCCGCGGGAGUCUCCCCCUCCUCGUCGGCGGUUCCACCUCCUCCAUCCUCUCUCUCCUGGUGGAGCGGUUCGACCAGGAGGAAGACGUGCUCGGCAGGCUCGGCCCGCCGGCGAGACCCAAGCUGAGGUACGACUGUUGCUUUCUGUGGGUCGACGUGUCGCUGCCCGUCCUGGAGGAGCACCAGUCGAAGCGCGUGGACGAAAUGCUCGACAAGGGCGCGUUUGAUGAACUCGCCGGAUACUACGACCUGCGCCGGACUGAUCCGGAGGGUUGGACCGGGCUGAGGAAAGCCAUAGGCGUGCCCGAGUUCGACCGUUAUUUCAAGAAGUACCCGCCGCCGGGGGGGGUGUGCCCGGACAGCCCGUGGCGGUGGCAGGAUGCGAGGAAGCGGGACGACGACCCAGUGCGGCAGGGUGCCUACAAGGAGGCGGUGUGGGAAAUAAAGAAGAAUGCGUGCCAGCUGGCGAAGCGGCAGAUUGAGAAGAUCCAGCGGCUGAGAGGGUGCGGGUGGGAGCUCCGUAAGCUGGACGCGACGGAGGUGGUCCAGCUGGCGAUGGCGGCCGAGGAGGAGGGAGGCAGCGGCGUCAGGUGGCAGGGCGUUUGGAAGAGGCAGGUCGUUGGGCAGAGCGUGAACAUUGUCAGGCGGUUCUUGCACAAGUAGGUGUCGUUUUCUCCUUUUUGAUUGGGGGAUUUGGUUCUGUCAAUAGUACUCGGGAACCCGAGUCAGGCAGCGGGCUCUUCUUCUUCUUAUUUUUCUUUUUUUUUGCCUUUUUCUUUUUGGGGCAUUGCCGAAAAGGUCGAAAAUGGUAUAAAAUUCAAGGAGAGUUAUUUUGCCUUCUUGUCCUGGGACUCCGGAUCGCAUGUAAGCCUGAAAAUUUCCACGUACGAGACAGGACUCGUGGUUUCGUUUCGGACACUGGCCACUCAGUUGCUCAAAACCCAUGUCGCUCACAAAUCACUAAACUAAGACCCUUAUUAACGUCUUGAUUAGGACGUGGGUCAUGAAUAGACCCUUAUUAAUAAUGGAAGAAGCUCAUUUCGGUAAUAUGCUUCUUCUAGCUCGUUUCGGUAACAAUGAUGCUUCUUCUUAUUACGUGCAUCAUAAAUUGCAAGAAAAUUGCAGCACUGAACACUAGCUAGAGUUUUGAUAACCUAGAGUCUUCAUUUCCAGAUGUGCCUUUGGACGCUAUCUAGAUGAAACACAACAGAUUAGGCGAUUUUUAGCGAUGAUAUCGGUAAAAAAGUGUUUGCAUGUCCAUGCAUUUGCUGAUUAUCCUAUUCAAUCGCUUAACAAGUGUUUCGGACCUUGAUUGGCAUGCUUCUUCCAAAGAUGAUGCUUGAAGAGUGAUCAAGAAGAUAAUAAAAGGUGUUAAUCAUCAUGGUCGGGUCGAGCCGUAAACCUAGAUGAUAAAAAGUACCUCUAGGAUUAAAGGUACCUCGAGGAUUACAACAUCUUCUUCUUAUGAUUACGGCUCGACCUGACCCUCAUGAUUACCACCUUUUGUCAUCUUCUUCCAAGAGAAAUCAAGCAUCAUGGCUACAACCCGAACCGACCAAUUGCCAUCUUUUAUCACCUUCUUCCAAAAGAAAUCAAGCAUCGGGAUUACCUUUUAUCAUUUUAGUAAUGAUGAUGCUUUGCUGAAAUGACCUUCUUCCGAAGAAAAAAGCGAAGUUGGAUUUUUGCUUUUGGGGUAGACUCGCAGGCAUUAUAACCAACGAAGUUGGACGUUAAUAACGGACGUGGGACAUAUAUAGACCUUUAUCAAUAAUGGAAGAAGCUCAUUUCAAAUUACCGUGUGGUGACCUUACCCUUGUGAUACACCACCUAGGAAUUUAACUAAUAGAUUAUUAAGCCUAAUCCUAACUCGGGCUUUUUCUAAACCUAUAUCAAUUCGCAACUUAUGAUUCAUAUUCUUAAGGUGUGUUUGGUUUAACUUUUUCAAUAAACUUUCAGCCUUUAAAGUCCCUUGAAGAAAUGCUGAGGUGUUCAAAGGGCUUUUAGUCAAAUGCUGGCUUUGGAAAAGCUAAAAAUUCAGUGCUGAUGGGGACUAAUUUUGGACUUUUAGUAUUUGAUCAAAUGUCGAAACUAUUUUUUUUUUUCAAAACUACUAUCACAAUUUCUUUUAGUUUUUUGGUUUUACCUCUUAUUGUUCUAAAACUGCCCUUACCUUCACUAGAGUCGGCAAAGAGUUUGAGAUUUUUUAAUAAAAAAGAAAAAUGAAAUCAAAAAGUCUUUAAUAAAAAAAGACCAGUCAAACACUCUUCAUGCUAAAAUUGCUUUGCAAAGGACAUUUUCCCAAAGUCCUUUAAGUCAAAGAUAUGUAUAUUUCUCCAAGGACCAUUUCCAAAGUUGAACCAAACACAACCUUAAUAGACAAAUCAUUUUCAAUAUGGAGUCGUCAUCAAUAAGUUACAGUAGGUCGAUAGUAAAAUAAUAGGAAAAUUAUUUUACUCUUACGAACUAAAGAUUCUAGAUGCAUGAAUUUUGAUCGUAUUAGAUUUCUCUAAUACUAUUUUGAUUCAUUCUUUUUAUGAAGAAUAUAUUUGACAAGCAACUCAAAUUCAUUUUAUUACUUUCUAACGUGUGAAAUAAUCAUAUAGGUGUGUAAAUCACCAAUUUCCUAAAGCUCCGGCUUUUUUUGACGGGUAAGGCGUCGCCGCAUUCCUCGAGAUCGUGGGAGAAGGAGAUUCGAGGGCUGCGCAGACCAGAGCUGGAUAUCUCCGAGAGUCCGAGCAAACGUGGAUCGCCAUCACCGGACCACUAUCCUUCUCUACUAGUUUCCCCAGAUAAGUGUUGCCUAAAGUUUUGAGGUCGGUCAGCUGGGGCCCACGGUCUCCCUUUCCCAGAUUUUCUUUUUUUCAUCUCCUCUCGAGAUAAAAUGUAAACGCCUUUCGACAUGACGUUUCCCUUUUCCCCUUUUAAUUUUUCCUCCUUUUUUGACCGUAAUUAAUUUAUUCGUAAUCAAACUCCCCGCUUUUUUAAAUAUCCACUUUUAACUUGGAUUACGAUAAUAACAAUAAUGAGAGCAAGUCCGUUGAGGCUUGUACAGUUUUUUAGUACAAAGAAAAGAGAGAAGAAAAACCAAUAAAUAUGUAUGUAUGUAUUACAUAUUAAAAGAAGAGUAAUGCUAGGCUUUAGAGUUGAUUUAUAAAAUAGAUUUACCAAGUGAUGUGUACAAUACAUUGUGUGUGUGGUUUUUUUAACAAGCGGGUUCUAAUCAUGAAUUAAGAACAGCUUGACGUAUGGCAAUUUUGUAAGCCAGGCAGAUGAGUCAAGCGAUUUUCAUGUAAGAAGGAUCUAACCACGACUCUUCUUGAUUUUUUCAUAUAAGAACACCAGGGAUUCCUUCUCCACUUUUUAAGAGUUUGUUUGAACAAAGAUGUGUCUCAAAAUGUCAACUAACUGCUUUUAUGGAUAGGUGUCUUAAUUUCAAUACUAUUUUUGUCAAGAAAAUAUCCACCAUUUUUCUUUUCGGACUUUUACAUAUGGAUUUUUUAAGUUAUGUGCAUCUAUUGCAAAGGGAAAGAGGUAAUUACACGAGUUCAAACUCAAACUUCAACUUGUUGUUCAAUUAGAAAUAACUUCACCAUCAAUUUAUUUUGUUCUCAUUUUUAUUUUCAAUGAAGUGGUUGAGAAUGUAAUAAAAUUUGUGCUUUUUCCAUAUCCUUAUUUAAAUAGACAAAUGGUUUCAUGGGAAAGUUUAUAGGAGUGGAAUUGUCAUUUUACUAUGGAUGUUAUCACUUCCAUUGGGGUCUAUUUGCAUCGCAUAUAUAUAUUUUUUUUUGUACUUCAAGUCUUCGUUCGCCACUUUCAUUGAUUUGGCCUCCUUCAUCCAUGGUUAUGUCCAUGGUUAUGUCUUUUGAAUGUGCCACUAAACGCAAGGUGGAAGAGGUGGAGAAGUGAUCGAAAAGGUAUUAAAGCGAGAAUCACGGUUGUGCCACCUUUUUGAAAAAAUGCAAGUCGCCGUACUCUCCAGCAGGCCAUCCUCCGCGGAUUGGACACUUAUAAGUUGUCACAUCUAGUGACUGCGUUCCAUCUUAAUGGGGGAUGAUUAAGCCUUUUUGAUUAAGCCCUAAUUAAUUAUGAGAUCAAGCGCUCUUUUCUUCUUCCUUUAUGGGAGGAAACGACAUGAGUGGAAGCAAUGGUUGUCCCCCGUCCUUUGUGCGUUCCGUGCAUUUGAGGCUCACAGAGGUGGAGGUGGUCUUUAUCUGGAAGAGAUUUUAUGCUUUUUGCCUAAAUUUGACAAGAUUUUGCAUGGUUAUCAUCAUACACGACCCAGCUACAUCGUUAUCGAUGAGGUGAUUGAGGUUUGAAAAAUCAUCAAGUAUUUAAAUUACUGUCGACAGAUGGAGCAUGCAAUAAUAGGAAUAGUACAUGUAACUUGCUCUUGCUACUUCUCUUGUCGCACUAGCGGGAUGAUGCUUCUACGGAGGUGGUGUAAAAAGAAUGUCAAAGCUUCAAAAGUAUUCACGGUCCUAGUCCGACGAAAGACGCAAAGACAAGUAACAUGAGAAUAAUAAUGUGGGAGGAGAGCCCACCCCCAAGUUUACCUGCUUGUAGAGCAUUGAAAAUGGUGUUUUGGAGACGAGAACAUUCUCGUCCGAUCCCACUUUCCAUCGUACCGAUUAGGAAAAAGGGCUGGACCCACAUCGAGACCUACCACUGAGAUACUCGAUUUGUGCCACAGCUAUCGUUUACUCUUGAAGUGAGUCAGUCAGUUGAUGCCUCAUUUCCUAAUCCGAGUAAGAGUAAAAUCGGUGGGGCGGGGGGGAUCCUUGUGCCCGCCAUUCGAGUCGAAUAACGCCGCCGGAGCUACAAACGUAGCAUGCAAGCCUCUUUGACCUUUAGUAGCCAUGAAUUCACACGGUAAAUCUGGCUAAAAAGUCCAUUACGUCCUCUUCCGAAAUCAGCGUUCGAAAGAUGGUGCCUGAUCCUAUGCGUUCCCAAUUCCAAGAAAAACGAUAAUGAGUGGCUACCGACUAAGCUACGUGGCCUAAAUGUUGAAGGCUCGGAAGGGAUCGAGAUGGGACAGUGGGGGCGUUCAAACUUGGGGACCCACGAAACUAGGAUGCUAUUUAAUUAAACAUCACCCAGUUUCGGUCUCCAGUGUCUAGAACCCAACCCAUACAUACCCAGUUUGUAAAUGCCUAUAGAGAAGAAAAAAAAAAGAAAGAAUCUGACUUCUUCAAUUUGGAAAAUGAAUCAUUUAAAGAUCAUUUUUUUGAAAAAUUAAUUGAAAGAAAUGCGGGGCAAAUAAGAUUGUUUAUUGAAAUUUGUUGACAAAUUGAUAUUAUAACUUAUAAAUGGAUGCUUGAUGAUGUCUCAUUUGCCUGCAUAUAGAUUUGGUAUUUAUAAUUCACUUUGCUCAACAAAAAAUAGUUCCAACAAGUCAAAGCAUUAUUGAAGACUCAUUGUUUAAUUCAACUGAAAAGCAUGCAUAAAUACAUGAAUGUCAAUCAUCCAAGUGUCUUUAUUUCUGAAAAGAUGUAGUUGGAAUUAGAUACCGCUUGAUCCCUUAAUUAAGAAAAAGAGAGAUUCUUAAUAUGCAAAAUUGGAUAUAUACAAAAGUACAUCCUAAUUAAUUUUUUUUUAUAUAAUCUAAAUGCACGAGCAUGGAAACUCAGCUAUUUACAUAUUCAUCGAACAUAUAACAAGUUUUAUAAAUUGGUUAAAUUUAAACUUUUGAGUUGUGCAAGCGACCUUUAACCAAAAGCAGUAUGUAUGGUUAUUAAAGCUUUGAUGAAGGGGCUUGUCAGAUGGUCCAAAACUGAUAUUUUUUAUUUUNNNNNNNNNNNNNNNNNNNNNNNNNNNNNNNNNNNNNNNNNNNNNNNNNNNNNNNNNNNNNNNNNNNNNNNNNNNNNNNNNNNNNNNNNNNNNNNNNNNNCCUUUUGAGGUUUUGCUGAGGGCACUUUAGGUUAUAUGGGUCUUUCAAUCUCGAUUGAAAACUCAAUUGAUACAAAGUAUUGAAAGAGAGAUAUGAUGUGGUUGAUAUACCAUUCUCUUCCCCGCCUUCUACUUAAAAGAAAUAAAAUAAAUGAAGUAUGACUUUGUCUAUCAAUCAAAGAGAUAGAAAGAUGUUCUUUCCAAAAAAGAUUUUCCCUAAAAAAAAAAAAAAAAAAAUUUCCCUUUUUAUAAGUAUGUUAUAUUAGCUUACCAAGAAUGAACGGUACAAACUGAACAAAUUUACUGAUCGGGAAAAGCACUAAUUUGGAAUAUUCACCCGAUUUUUCACCGGGCAUCUCGAUUCACAAACUUAGAUUUAUUCAUGAAAAUGGAAGUUCCGUGUCGUAGCAAAACAAAAACCCUAGGUCGAUCGCUUCCCUUCCGUUUUUCCCUCAUCACGGGCCAAAAUUCUAUCAUUUGUGCGUCGGUUUUGCCUCCUUUCCUUCCUCCAUUCCUCCAUUCCUCCAUUCAUCUCAUUUUCUCCGUCAAACCCACAAACCAGAUUCUCCUCUCUGCUUGCACGCGCCGCUCUGACAAAAUCCCAAAAGAUUCGAAAGCUGCAAGUUGCUGACUUCUCUCUCGAAUCUCCUUCUCCCACGAUCUCAAGGAAUGCGGCGACGCCGUCCCCGUCGAAGAAGAUGACCGCAGUCGACGCGAGAGGCUCGACCGGUCGCUGAUGGACUCCGACUCCGACUUCUGCGUCGGCGGGUCGAGUUUCGUCCUCCAGCUCUCCUCAGCCGACGAGCUCUUCUCCGACGGCGAGAUCCUUCCCGACGAGAUCAGGAGGGACAGAGUGGUAACUGCCGACCACAGUAAUUGUCUGCCGAAUACCUUGGUCUCAUCCUCCUUCUCCAUCUGGGACUCCGAUUUCUAGUGCUGCAUUCACGGAGAAGAGGAGUCUGAAGGAGCUCCUCUUCGGACAGCUUCGACGACGACGACGAAGGAGAUGAGAAGCCGCUGCCCAAGCCAUUCUGGCAAUUCAAGUGCACUUAAUUGUGACGUUGCCAAGAGCAGAGGACCGAUUCGGUUGCUACAGUUCCUCUCGCGGCGCAACUCGACCGGUUCAGUUCCAAAUCCAAAGGACAAAUUCGCCUCCAAGGACAACCCGAGGCAGAAUUUGCAUAAACAGCCUUCCAUAUUAGAUCAAAGAUGGUCGUCGGAGUCAUAUCAAUCCUCCUUCGGCAUGCCAUCAGAAGCCCCCGACGACGAACAAACGAGACAGACCCAGCGUGAGGGUCAAUCCUGAAUUGAAUUUUCAGCCCCACAUCAAACGAUCAGGACGGUGAGCUCGUUCGGGCUCGUUUCGCUUUUUUGUAAUGGCAAGGUCAAGAAGAAGAAGAAACGAGUCAUCCUCAUUAAUCUGCUUUGUUAAUUUGCAUUAGAGCAUAGAGAAAAAAGAAGAAGAAAUGAGCUUUUUGAAUGCUAUAUAGAUUUUGCGGCGGUAGAUAUGGGGGACCUGAUGGAAUUAGCAUGGGAUAAGGUUCUCGAAAAGAAUUCCAGGAAAAUAUAAUGUACGAAAUACAUGUUUAAAGAUCAGGUUUCGUUUUCUGAUAGUGGGCCCUAUAAGCCUCUGACCAGCGUUGCAUUAGCAUCAGGUAAGAUAUAAUCAUCUUGUUGUCUAUCCAGCCGAAAGUCGUACGCUGUUGUCAGUAUUCUAAAUUCAUCUUGUUUUGGGGACUUUUUUAUAAUAUCUCGGACUUCUAAGCGACGUGAAAAAUAUAUAGAAUUUGCAUAAUAGUGGCAAACGUACAAUGAGGCAAGAGAAUUUGCAUAAUUGCAUCGUAUUCUUUGUGAGUUUUUUUGUGUGAAUAUUUUUUUUUCUUUUUAAGGUUCAGGGGAUGCAGAGAAAGCAAAGGAGUACAUAGCCAAAAGGAGUGAUGAGCAAACAGAUGGUGACGGUGCGGUUUUAUCCCUCGUGCUCAAAGCUAUGUCCAUCAGAUUGUUCAAUAUGCUCCUAAUGACCGGUAAUAUGUAAUGCCAAAUCUGUAUGUUCGAAGUUCAUAUCGACAAAUAUUGCAAUGAUCCCAAGCAUUGUUCUGAGAACAUUCGCGCUACGUUGUCUCGAAUGCUAUGGAUGCAUCUUUUGGUUUUCCGACUGCAGUUAUGUUCUUGCUUCAUGUCCUCAUGAUCUCAAUCACGAUCACGAGGCAAAGGAAGAACAGGGUUUUAACACUAGUCAAACUUGUGUAUCUAAUUGCUCAACUGACCACCCUUGUACUGAUUGUAAUCUUACGGCUACUUAAAGCGCCACUUUUAACUCUUGUAAUUAGUUUCAAACUCCCGUCGAAUUUUAUGAUGGAAGAUUUAAGCACAAUAGUGAUAGCCACUCUCCUGUCGCAAAACUCCAUCUUUGGCAAUGGCUUUUUAUGGCCAUCCUGGAAAUCCCUAAUAUGCCUAACACUUUUCGUUUAAACAUUGCACUGAUGAAGAUAAUUUUAAAAAGUAUAGUAUUUUCUAAGCAUAUGUAACCAUUGGUCUUUCCCAUCACAACUUUAUUACUUUUGUGCUCCACUAAGAAUUGUUUAGUAACAAUUUGUUGAUGGGGCUUUAUACGUAUAUACAAAUUGACAAGCAUUAAGACUAAAAAGUAUAUAUAUAUAUAUAUAUAUAUUUUUUUUUAAGUAUGGUAGAAAAGUUUAGCGGCGAAUAUGAAAAUCAUGUACAUAAAUGGAUUAAUAGGAUGAAUUUUCAAAAGCUAAAUGAGUAUUGAUAGCUUAUAUGUUGUCUCAAUAUAUUGUUUUGUCUACAUUUCUUCAUUUGCCAGAUAUCAUGGUGUAGACAAAGUACUCUAUCAAAUCUUGUAUAUCAUCUCUAUCAAUCACAAUUAGAGACUUAACAAGUGAGCUCAUUGAACAUUAAGUACGCAAUAUGUUUAUGUUUUCUAAUUUUCAUAUUGAUAUUCAUUUUAAUAUACAAUCAUAAGAUUGAAUGUGAUUAAUUUAAAUUUAGUUGAAGUCUUAAAGCUUUAGGAUGAUUAGAAUGCAACUAACUAUAACUGAAUUAGGUUUUGCGGCUGAUUUAAUAAAUCUUAUUCCAAGUUUUGAUUGAAUUUCUUAUCUUAGUCAGCUAAAGUUGGAUCUUUAUUAGUGGUCAGCUCAACUAUAUAUUAAAUAAGACUUGGCCGACCUAAUCUCAGGAAUGAGUAACAAAGUCUAUGUCAACAUGACCACCUCAUACAUCCGGUAGCCAUUCCGUUGGUGAAAAGCAUAAGCAUCAUUAUACAUUAAGCUUUUCCACAGAAUUGGCAAGGAUGGAGGCUACAAUUUAUCUGAGAACAAGCAUGUAUUUUGAUAAAUUGAAGCGUUGGGAAUUAGGAUGGAAAUGAACAGCGACCAAAUUUGCUGGGUUUCAUUUUGAACUUACAAUUAAUUGAUAGGAAACAACUUGCAUUGACCAGGUGGUACUAUAUUGCUUUUUAAUAAUUUCUCUAGGUUUGGUGGGUAUUUCAUAAUGCACUAUUGGAAAACGGGCUUAAUAUUAUUUGAAAUGUGAAUACCAUAAAAUGGUGCCGAGUACUGAAAAUUAGCUGAUGGUUGUGGCUUCGGGCAAAUCCGAGAACCUCUUCCAGAGUAUGUUACCUCAAGGAUGUUAUUGAUUUACUUCCCAUAAAGGUAUCCACUUAACAGUCCGUGGCAUGGGCGCACAUAUACUCUUAUCCAUGAGAUAUGCUCAUCUUGUCUUUAUUGAUACCUAAAUUUUGGCUAUCUAUUUAGGGUUUAAUUAUAUAGAAAAUUGGGAAUUAAUUUUUAACUCCUAAAAAAUCAUUUAAAUUGCAUAGCAUAUAACCUUUAGGAGUAUCUGCAUUGAGUAGUGAUAGAAUUCAUGAAAAUUAUUAUUACUUUAUUUAUUAGAAGAAAAGAGGAGACGGAGCCAGACUGUGUCGGGUCAACCCAGACCCCUAUCUCUUUUCCGGCUGGGCCUGGCCCAACUCUUUUCUCUCUUUUCUUUUCCUCGGUGCAGGCCGGCCCAUCAUCGUUUUUCCCAGGCCCGGCCCACGUGUUGGUGUGCUUCUCCUUCAUGCCGCUCACGCCUUCUGCAAAAGGAACAGCGACACAGGCAGAGCAGGAGGAAAGCAGCUGUCGGCGUGAUCCGCGGGGGUCAGGCCGACCUGUAAGCUGGCAAUGGCAGACGCCAUGCGUGCUUACCAGUUUCCCUUAAAAGUAAAAGAGGAGGCUCACUCACUGGAGACAGAGAGAGAGCGAAGAAGAGACCGAGAGUAAGAAAUUUUUUGUCCGCUCGCUUGAACCACCCUCGACCUUCGUGGGAAGCCAACUAGCCCGUCGCCGUUCGUCACUGCAAACUCCCAAACCAGGUAACACCGGAAAGGUCCUGCCUCUUCCUUGCUUACUGAGUUUGAGAACGUCAAACCGAACCGACGAGAAUUUGGGCAAACCGUACAAAACCCAAACUGAUUUGUUGCCACUAAUGCCGAUUUAGAGCUCAAUAUACUGGGUUUAAGCCACGAACGACGUUAAAUCUGAAUCUGAAAGUGGUAUGUCGAAUUGCACAUCAACUUUUUGACGAAAUGCUUGAAUGAAGCCCCGAAUUGGAGUUCAUCAAAUUGAUACUUAAAAUCUUUGUGUUGCGCUUAGUUUGUUCUAACAUUAUUGCAUUAUUACUGAAUCUGGGUUUCUCUUUGAUUUUGUGACAUCAUUUGAUGCACGAGUCGGCCGUGGAUAACGUCUUCACGCCGAAAAAUCCACAGCCCUCGCCGGAGAAGUCCGCGGUUAGAAGCCGCCAUAGUCGGUCUUACUUUCGUCUCGGUGUGCAUAUACAUGUUUGGUUUGUUGGGAGGGCUUUCGUUUUGCAAUCGGCGACGUUUGGUGUUAACAUCGAGUCGAUUAGAGUUCUGGCGCGAGUUACUUCAAUGAAGUUUCAGUAUUGAAUUCGAUGGAGAAAAAGCAUUGGUGAAGAAGAUCUCGUCGUGGGAGAGCUCUCAAAGAAGAAGACGACGCAGAGCAAAAGAAAAGGGCAAAAAUAAUAUAAAAAAAUAAAAAAUUGAGAUUAAAAAAAUCAGAAGAGAACCAAAAAUUCGGAUCAGGUGGCCAGGUCAGGGAGUUGUGGGUGAAGAAUAGGAUGGGCUUUUUUUGAGCGUGUGGGCUAGAUGAUUUUUGAUAGAAGAUGGGCUUGAGAUAGUUUUUCUUGUGAGGGAUAUGGGCUUGUUACAGUUCUAGUCGAGCUGGGCUUUAUUUAGUUUGAAUACACUCGGGCUUGAAUUGUUGUAGAGGCCAACCCAUCAAAUUCAGGUCGGGCCAUACUCGGACUGGGCCCUAGGGCCGGUCCGAUUUCGGACCCAACCUGGACCGGUAAGGUCCGAGUCCGACAACAAUCGGACCGGUUUCUCUGACCCGAGCCGAGUCACAUAUUCCAGAAUUAAAAAUUCAAAAAUUAAUAAAAAAUAUAAAUCAUUAAAAUAAUUUAAAAUUCAAAAAAUGUAAAAAAAGUAAAUAUAAAAAAAAUAGAAAAUGCUUAAAAUAGGUAUUCAUGAAAUUUUUAAGUUUUUUAGCAUUAGAUUUAGUUUAGUUUCAUUUAAUUAGUAUACAUGUAGCAUAGUCCUAGUGGAGUAUCAUUUUGAAAGAAAUUAAACUUGAUUUGAAUAUAGCUCAUGGGGUUCAUGUCCUAGGGCUUAUAACGUGGCCAUGUAUAUUCUUUGCUUGGCUUGUAUUAGGUUUUCUUUUUGGCAUUUACUUUAAAAGUCAUUUCAAUACUUGGGUGCUUGUUUAACGUACCAUUUUUCAAUAAAUUGGUUGUUUAUCGCUUUCUCAGAAUAGGUUAGGAUUAAUUUAGACUUUGAGGAAACUGAACCCUACAAAAACAUUUGCAUGAUCAUUUAGCAACUUUGAUGCAUUUAGGACUAUAAUUGGCAAUUAAGACUGUGUGACCACUUAAGUAAUGACCUUCUAAGUUAGAGGUAUCAAAAGGGUGCUAAUAGACAUUGGCGUAAUCAAUUUCCUAACUCUAAAAUUUUUGGUUGCGUAGGAAUUGAGACGAUACUCCAGUGUUUCGAUUGAUUUCUAAAUCAACCUCAAUAGGCUAAUGACAACUUUUAGAAAUAUUUAUAUUGUUAAGAAUUAAAAAGAAAAAAGAAAAAAAAGAAAAUGAAAUCCAACAUUGUGCGAGGUAUGAGCUUGAGAGGGCCCGCCCUUAAUCAAGGGCCGUUGGCUUGAAUUAGGCAAUACCCUUAAUCUAUUUCUUUUCCCUUCCAAACAUAAAGGGUAGGUCACGAUAGUCUUUUUUUUUUUGCCAAGAAGAAUCCAACUCUUCUUUUUGUAUAUUAUGCCCUUAUCAGAUACUUUGCAAGUAAUUGAACGAUUCUCUUUUAAUACUACUACAUAAGCAAUUCAUCACUAAUAAUAAUAUCGACUGCAACUUGGUCAUGUAUAGGUCUAGAUGAUCACCAGAAUCUUUCUACCGUAGCUGAAACAGCUUUUUACAUCUUGUUAGCAAGUUUUCUAACAAUAUUGCCCUCAAAAUUUUGAUUGAAGGUUUUAGAGAUUAAUGAUCCCAAAGCCUAGACAUUUGUUACACUCUAAGGGUCCCAAGCCUAGGCCCUAGCGCUGGGUAUCCAGGCACAAGUAACGAGGUCCGGUGCCCAGCCUCGAUGGACAAGGCUCCUCUCUGUUUCUGUCCGCCUCCUUGUCUUCACCUUGAGAAGUUAUAGUCGAUCUUCCUUCGCUGAACCCUCCCACUUACCUCUCUUUACAUAACGCUUCUCUUCUUUGGGUGAAUACAGCUGAGAGGAUCGGCCCACAGAUGGGAUCCGAUGGAGGUCCAGCUCCAAUAACCAUUCAUGCUUUUGCUGUAGCGAGAGUGUAAGUGCUCUAACAACAACAACCCAAAUGGACUC